rnacentral:lncRNA from 1 species
CAGGAAAGUCAGCUUAAAGGACACUCCUUGCAGGGACUGAGCUGGCACCUACUCCUUAGAGCUUGCUGAUACCAGGCCUGCCACGCGACAUCUGCAAGGACAGUUGUUUGGUGUUUUGCUUCAGGUUAUAGAUGGAGAGACCUAUAAAGGACUCCAUGUUUUCGUUGGCCCUGAAAUGCCUUAUCAGUCUGUCCACCAUCAUCCUUUUGGGCUUGAUCAUCGCCUACCACACACGUGAAGUCCAGCUCUGAAUUUGUCUGUUUCCCAUGUUGGGCGUACAUGAAAAAUCUUAUGAAAGAAAUGGCCCCACAGCCCAGAGAAAA